rnacentral:rRNA from 1 species
AUUGAACGCUGGCGGCAGGCUUAACACAUGCAAGUCGAGCGGGGUGAUGGUGCUUGCACUAUCACUUAGCGGCGGGCGGGUGAGCAAUGCUUAGGAAUCUGCCUAUUAGUGGGGGACAACAUCUCGAAAGGGAUGCUAAUACCGCAUACGUCCUACGGGAGAAAGCAGGGGAUCACUUGUGACCUUGGGCUAAUAGAUGAGCCUAAGUCGGAUUAGCUAGUUGGUGGGGUAAAGGCCUACCAAGGCGACGAUCUGUAGCGGGUCUGAGAGGAUGAUCCGCCACACUGGGACUGAGACACGGCCCAGACUCCUCCGGGAGGCAGCAGUGGGGAAUAUUGGACAAUGGGGGGGACCCUGAUCCAGCCAUGCCGCGUGUGUGAAGAAGGCCUUAUGGUUGUAAAGCACUUUAAGCGAGGAGGAGGCUCUUUUGGUUAAUACCCAAGAUGAGUGGACGUUACUCGCAGAAUAAGCACCGGCUAACUCUGUGCCAGCAGCCGCCGUAA